GGAAUCAAUGGGAAAAACAUAUUCACUCCUCAGAUACAGCUUUCCCAGCCACUUUGCAUCUAUAUAUUAGUUUUUGCCCUAUCAUCACCAGAUCAAGGAGGAGGGUUAAACAGUUUAAGAUGAGAAAAGUUGAUCUCUGUUUGAGCUCUGAAGGGACGGAAGUGAUUUUAGCUACAUCGAGUGAUGAAAAACACCCCCCUGAAAAUAUAAUUGAUGGG